UCGGCUUGCCGAUGCGUGUCGAGAUCGAGAGGAACAGCGCGGCCUUGCAGUGGCUCACUUUGCCGGUGAGCCCAAGGCCCUUCUCCGGUGUCUUUCGCCUCUUUUUGUUGUUGUUGUUGUUGUUGUUGUUGUUGUUGUUGUUUUAGUUGUUGUUGUUGUUGUUGUUGUUGUUCUUUGCCCUGUUCUAGGGUUCUUCGUGGGGAGGGGAUUCGUUUUCUUUGUGAUUUUCUCUAUGAUUCUUUUCUACCAAAAACCAUCUAGAUCCUAGAGGCUCUGAUUACCA
rnacentral:lncRNA from 1 species